UACAAUUAACCAUCUAAAGCUACCACAGUUCUUCAAUCAAAGUAUAUAUCUAGAUAUAUAGAGAAAGUACACUUCAUAAUUUCGUCCCUUGUCUUCCGUAAACGUAGCACAGAAAUUUGAUACCCAGUAUUGUAAGGCAGGUCGUGGAAGCAGUCUUCCUACACAUAUUUAAAAAUAAUAGCAAGUUAGAAAAAUGAAGCAAAUAGGUCACCAGAGGUACUUAGUGCCAAAAUCAAUACACAAAGACAAUAGAGUUGCUACGUGAUACUAAUGUACACUGUAUUGCUCAUAAGGAGAAAAAGACAAAUAGGCAGUCACAAUAGGGCAUAAAAUGGUAAAUAUUCUCUCUCCAUUUUCCAAAAUCAGCUGUCUUUCAAAACUGUCAUGUUCUGAUAAAAUGGUUAGUGAAGCACCACCUGCCAAUACGUAUAAAGAUAUCAUAUGACAAAGGAACUGCUUGAAAAAGCUCCCGCUGUACGAGCUAAAACAAAAGGAAAAACACUACCUCCCAAAGGAAACCAACAUUCAUAUCCCAACCACUGAAAAUCCUAUCAUCCCUGUCAGUCCAAACUCUCCACAAAAUGGCAAAGCAAACUCACUCCAGAGAAUCCUCCUAUCCUUCUCUCCACCAAAACCCCUAAAACUACAUAGGAGAAGAUCUUCCACCAUAGAGAGGUAAAUCCAACAUUCAACUAAAAAACCAAACAAAAAAGGCCACAAACGCCAAGAAAUCAGACAGUGAACAAAAUGAAAAUCAUGAAUGUAUUACCAUCUUCUAGUAGUUGUGAUUUAAAUAACAAGAAAAACAUAUAAAUAAAGGGGUGUGAGUGCUACGGAAUACUCUUAACAUAUAUGUUUCAGAAGCAAACAAAUAUAAACCCACAACGAAAGUGAUAAAGAAACAGACAUGGAAAGAUUCAAUUAUACUUGAGAUGCAAAAAUACCAAGAUUGAAAACAAAGACUACCAAAAAGGCUAAAACUAAUAUUUCCUCAAAAUACCCUUCAAAUGAUGUAGACCAUAUAAUUAAUCUAUGGAUUUCAGCCAACAAGGUUGCCCACUCAAGUAGUUUUACUAUGGCCUUGGCAUUAGCUGAACCAAAUAAAGAACAAAACAAGGUCAAAAUCAUUGCAUGAAAACAAUUACCUAUUAUUCUACCACCUGCAGUUGCACCAGGAAGACUAUAAUUUCCACUACCAAGUUCACAGGGCAAAUCAGCAUUCCCAUACGUGAUACCACCCUCAAUAAAACUGCCAUUGUAGUAUCCAUACCCACCUUUGCCACCAUAUCAACAACCACCCCCAAGACCAUUACUCAAGAUUUUUCCACUACCCAACCCAACGAUACAACCUAUAUUACACGACAAAUUGUGAAGGAAAAAAAUAAUCGUCAUUUGACCAUAGAGUGCAGAUUUAAACGGCAGAAAAGACUGGUAAUCUAAAAAUCUAUAGAACCAUCAAAUAUUUAUUCAUUUAAAUAAAAGACAAUAGAAUCAGGACAAAUACGUUAAGAUUUGUCAUUGAUAUAAUUUCCAUGAAUUUACUACUGAGUAAUUGCAAUAAACUUUGUUAAUAGGGAAGAUGGAUAAAGGAUACCCAGCCCAGAUGCACUUAAUUCUCCAGACGAUUUAACAAGCACAGUUCUAAACCAGUGGAAAUGAACAAC
rnacentral:lncRNA from 1 species